GCUUAGCUUAGUUAGGGGACAUAAAUUGGUUUGGACCAAAAUCUGGUCUUCGGCUAAGGCCUUUUUGAGGGGACUCUGUUUCACUAUCAGUUGUCCUCUAAGUCACCUUGGACAUUU